GUAGUAAAAUAUGUCACAAUGAAGAACAUAAGCUAAAACCACAUAUGGUAGAUAAUUUAAAAGGGCUCCAUAGUGCUAUAUUACUUGCUGCAUGAUGGCAUCUUGGUCAACAAAGGUACAGUAUUUUUAGCAUACGUUUUCUAUGUUUAGAUAUGUUUAGAUACCAAUAGGCUACACCCUAUAGCCUAGGUGUGUAGUAGGCUAUACCCAUACCACCUAAGUUUGUGUAAGUACACAAUGGCAAAAUUGCCUGAUGAUGCAUUUCUCAGAAUGUAUGCCUGUUGUUAAGCAACACAUGACUGUAAUCUGUGUUCAAGUAUUAGGUCUUCUGUCAGAAGGAAGGGUUUAAUUUUGACACAUUCAGUUAUGUUUCUCCUUGGGCUCACAUCCCAACUAGUGUAGUUUUUUUCUGGCUUUGUUAUUUUAAUAAUCUUGGUGUUUGUGAUGGAGUCCUUAUAAACUCUUUAGGCUGUCCCUCCACUGAAUGAAAAAGGAGCGGGGUGGGAAGAUCAGGUCACUCCCACUUAGUUUCUCUCAUAAACUCCCAAAGAGAGCACAGAUCUGUGCCAUCUCGUAAGAUAUCCAGUAGCAAGAUCUUGGCUCACUGCAGCCUCAACCUCCCAGGUUCAAGUGAUCCUCUCACCUCAGCCCCUGAGUGCCUGGGACUACAGGUGCAUGCUACUA
rnacentral:lncRNA from 1 species